rnacentral:rRNA from 1 species
AUUGAACGCUAGCGGGAUGCUUAACACAUGCAAGUCGAACGGCAGCGCGGUCCUCGUUCUGGCUGCGAGUGGCGAACGGGUGAGUAAUGUAUCUGAACGUCCUCACUUUCGCUGUAUAACUACGUCAAAACGUAGCUAAUACCGCAUACUCCCUACUGGUGCAACCUGGGGAUCGUAAGACCUUGCCCUCUUUGAGGGGUCGAUAUCGGAUUUGAUAGUUGGUUGGGUAACGGCUCACCAAGGCGGCGAUCCGUAGCUGGAGUGAGAGGACGACAGGCCACACGGGGACUGAGACACGGACCAGAGGACUAAGGGAGGCAGCAGUGGGGAAUGUUGGACAAUGGGGGCAAACAUGAUCCAGCCAGCCCGCGUGUGAGAUGAAGGCCUUCGGGUUGUAAAGAACUUUUGGCAGGAAAGAAACGUCGCGGGCUAAUACCAAGUGGAACUGACGGUACCUGGAGAAUAAGCACCGGCUAACUACGUG